rnacentral:rRNA from 1 species
CCUACGUGAGGCAGCAGUGGGGAAUAUUGGACAAUGGGCGAAAGCCUGAUCCAGCCAUGCCGCGUGUGUGAAGAAGGCCUUCGGGUUGUAAAGCACUUUCAGUGGGGAAGAAAGCCUUGGGGCUAAUACCCUCGAGGAAGGACAUCACCCACAGAAGAAGCACCGGCUAACUCCGUGCCAGCAGCCGCGGUAAUACGGAGGGUGCGAGCGUUAAUCGGAAUUACUGGGCGUAAAGCGCGCGUAGGCGGUCUGAUAAGCCGGUUGUGAAAGCCCCGGGCUCAACCUGGGAACGGCAUCCGGAACUGUCAGGCUAGAGUGCAGGAGAGGAAGGUAGAAUUCCCGGUGUAGCGGUGAAAUGCGUAGAGAUCGGGAGGAAUACCAGUGGCGAAGGCGGCCUUCUGGACUGACACUGACGCUGAGGUGCGAAAGCGUGGGUAGCAAACAGGAUAAGAUACCCGAGUAGUC